rnacentral:rRNA from 1 species
UCCGGUGGCGAUGGCAAAGAGGCCACACCCGUUCCCAUCCCGAACACGGAAGUUAAGCUCUUUAGCGCCGAUGGUACUGCACGGGAGUCUGUGUGGGAGAGUAGGACGCCGCCGGAU